rnacentral:lncRNA from 1 species
GUUUAAAGGUGUGUGGCACCUCCCUGCCCCUUCUCCCUCCCAUUCUGGUUAUGGGAGACAUACCGGCUUCCCCUUCACCUUCUGCCAUGAUUGUAAGUUUUCUGAGGAUUCUCCAGAAGCAGAAGCCGCGAUGCUUCCUGCACAGCCUGCAGAACCCACUUCUUGCUGCUGCCAUGUGAAGAAGGACAUGUUUGCUUCCCAUUCCACCAAGAUUGUGAGUUUC